UACAGAGGGUGCAAGCGUUGUUCGGAAUUAUUGGGCGUAAAGCGCGUGUAGGCGGCUUGGCAAGUCAGAUGUGAAAGCCCUCGGCUUAACCGAGGAAGUGCGUCUGAAACUGCUGAGCUUGAGUGUCGGAGAGGAUGGCGGAAUUCCGCAAGUAGAGGUGAAAUGCGUAGAUAUCUGGAGGAACACCGGUGGCGAAGGCGACGUCCUGGACCGGCAUUGACGCUGAGGCGCGAAAGCCAGGGGAGCAAACGGG
rnacentral:rRNA from 1 species